UACGGGGGGAGCAAGCGUUGUUCGGAUUUACUGGGCGUAAAGGGCGCGUAGGCGGCCUUGUAAGUCCUGUGUGAAAUCCCCCGGCUCAACUGGGGAACUGCACAGGAGACUGCUUGGCUUGAGUUCGGGAGAGGGAAGCGGAAUUCCGGGUGUAGCGGUGAAAUGCGUAGAUAUCCGGAGGAACACCGGUGGCGAAGGCGGCUUCCUGGACCGACACUGACGCUGAGGCGCGAAAGCCAGGGGAGCAAACGGG
rnacentral:rRNA from 1 species